rnacentral:tRNA from 1 species
GGGCGCGUAGCUCAGCGGGAGAGCGUUCCGUUCACACCGGAAAGGUCGCUGGUUCAAUCCCAGCCGUGCCCACCA